UAUAAAGCAACUCAAACUUAAUAACACAACACUCAAACAUUUAACUUACCUUAACCAUCUUCUUAAGAGAGAACUAAUUACUUGAAGCCCACAGUGUAUAUAUAGUUUUUUUUCCUUUUUUUUUUUAAGAGAGAGAGAGAGAGAGAGAGAGAGAGAGAUUAUACAAGGUAGUGUGUGUAUGGUUGGGUUUUUCCUGCUAUUUGUAGAAAUUUUUUUUUUAGUGGCCUAAAUAAAAGAGGGGGGAGGAUACUGAGUCAUGGGUCAACGGUCAAUCGUCAACGGACCAAGUCUUUUUGUUGACUUACUCUCAUUUUCUAAGUAGCGAAAAAGAAAGAAACUUCCUCUCACCAUUAUUUUAUUACAUUAAAAAAAAUCAUAUUUUUUCCUAAUGACGAUUGUUUUUAUAAUCUUAUACCACAAAAUAAAAAAUAAAAAAAAAUUGAAAACACUUUCAGAUUUUAUUUUUUUAGGUGACCUUUCAAAGUACAACAGUUGGUGCCUUACUAAGUUAUCAUGUUACCAAACCUACUACUACUGUCAAUGGAUGUGGAUAUCCAAACGUUUAUGCGAAUCCGUACCCAAUUUAGACAAUUUUAAUUGAAGCUAAGGCAUUUAUUUCAUAGGAUAAACAGUUAGACGUGAUAGAUACUGACACAAGAGACGAAAUAUGAUACAACUCGAACACUGCAACUCGGCAACUUUCAAAAAAUUAGGACAAAUACAAUGCAUCAACACCGCUAAUAAAAUAUGAUAUUAUUAAUAUAAUAAUAUAUAUUAUUAUAUAUAAAAUAUUAAUUUUAAUAAAAUAUUAUUAUAUUUUUCAUAUAAAUGAAAGUUAAUAAAAUUUUUAUUAAUAGUUCAUAUAUUUUAAGAAGAGAAAAUUUUCACCAUACAUAAUUUAUUUCUUUUGUCAAAAAAAUUUGUAUACAUUCAUCAAAAGGUAAAAAUAUUUAUCGUCUUAUAUUAUAUAUGCAUAAAAAAGUAAAAUAAAAAAUAUAUAUAUUUUCUUAAAUUGUUGCACUAUAAAUCGGCAUUAAACGCACGUCCAAAAAUUAUUCACAUCGAACUCGUAUCUAACACGAACACGCGCGUGUCCGAUACGUAUAUGGGAGGCUUAUAGAAGUGUCCGUGAUAUAUAGAUAAACAAUCACAGACUCCUCAAACUCUUUGAAAGAAAACCAACUAGAAAAUCCGCGUGAAACAAGGUCCCUUUUUUAGCUAGUUUAUCAGCACGUUGUGAAAAUAAACUAUAUCUAGAACUACUUGCAGUGAAAUCGAGAUAUGCCGGCCCCUCUUAUACAAGCAGGAAUGAACGAUAAUCGUCGAAUCUAUGUAAAUUAAGCACUUCAUAUUAAGCCGAUUAUUUAGAAACCACUUGACCGUCUCAGUACACGCUUGUAUCUCAACAACAAUAGCACUUUCUGAUUCCACGGAAUGCGCUAAACCGACCAGUUGAAAUCAUUAAUCAAAUUAGGCCAAAAUAGCACAAAUGAAAGCGCCUUCCCAACCACUAAGCCAUGGAAGAAGCUUGUGCAGUAAGACGCUGCAACUAAGGCCUAAAAAUUCUGAGGCACGCGGUGCAGGUAAGAAAUGUCUUAAUCAGCAUUCAUGCCUCUAAAAUGACAGUAGAAAUGUCAAUGGGUACGAAUAUCUCAGAUUUUAUCUGAAUCCAAAUUUCAGCAAGCCGAGUUUAGUAUAUGCUGAAUGAGAAUGAUUUCGACUAUGGGUAUAUUAAAAAAAAAAAAAAAAAUCAAAGUUCGAUAUAUUCGGGUUCUUAUAUGGUUUUUAUCUAUAUGGAACUCUAAUCCUAGUUGGAUUUGGAUUGGUUUCCAUAUAUAUUCAAUAUAUUCGGUUUCUUACGCAUGUAUGUGAACCGUACGGCUAUGGUGCAUGGUGCAUAGAGACUUAAAAAACUUUAGUAAGAGAUUUCUAUAUUUUUCUAAUUUAGUCUUGUCGGUUAUGAUCUUGCGAAAUUAAAGGCUUUUUGAUUAUUCUUGGAGUUUUCGUUGGAACAAGAGAGAGGUGGGAUUUACCAUAAAAUUUUUAUUUUUUUAUCUAGAGAAAGCAUAAUUAAGCUUGUACUUUAUUUUUUCAUAUAAAAAUGCAUCUCUCUCGCUCUUUUCAUGACUCACUCUCCCCAUUAAUGUAGGUAAUUAUUGAACUACGUAAAUUUUAGUAUCUUCCUUCUAUAUUUAUUUCUUUUACUAGUCGGCUUUGGCUUUUUCUAUUUUUUCGUGCAUUUUUAUUGGUAACAUAUAACGGACGAUCCAUCCAAUUUUCAAUAAUUACAAUCUAUAAGAAAUCGUUUUAUUUGCUUAAUUGUAAAGUCUUGGCAUUCAUAAGUAAGUUAUUGGAAUAUAUAAUUUGUUUCACUUGCCAUGUGCUUUAUCUUAUUCCGAUAAAGUGGCUUUGAGGCUAAAUAUAGUAUACUAUUUUUAGACAUGUGACCAUAUAUACUACUUGUAUUCAUAUACCAAAUAUUAAGUAAUAAAAAGAAUGUAUUACUCAAGAAAUUCGUAUAUCAAUCACAGCAAGGCCUCAAAGGUUGCAUUAUUAUUGUGAUCUUAGCAUUUGAGCGAAUUAAAAUAUAUGUGAAAAAAGGUUUUCAUAUAGAAAAAUAGACCGUAAGGAGAAUAAUAUAAUAAUUUGUCAUGACAUGACAAAAGUUGUCCCAUGGUAGGAGUGUAAUGUGGGCCGUGCCGGGCUAGCACGACCCACCUACCUGGGCCGAUUCAGGCCGAGGGUCGUCCCGGCCGACCGUGCGGGUCCGUUUGCUUAGAGGGAAAGGCCCCGCCCGACCCCUAAUCCGCCCGGCAUGAGCCGAGCUGGGCUUCGUGCCAACCCAGUAAUAGGGAUUUUUUUUUUUCCAUUUCUUACUGAUCGUCCUUUCUUAUAUAUUUUUAUUUUGUUUUUUUUAAAAAAGAGAUAAUUAGUUUUUAAAUUAUAACGUUUUGAUUUAUAGUUUUUAAGUUACAUAAUUAGACCCAACUUUUUUAAAACUCUUUUAAAAAGUGUGUAAAUUAAAAAAAAAAAACUAAAACACUAACAAUAAAUUUAACUUUUUAAUAUUAUUAAUUAAUAUUAUAUAAAAUUUAAAACUUAGAGAUCAAUAAUUUUAACUUUUCAAUUUUAUAGAUUUUUAAUAUAAAUGUUUUAAUUUAAAUUUCUUUGAUCCAAUAACCAACUUUAAUAUAAAAUUAAUAUUAUUUUUUCAUAUUUUUUUAUUAUUUGGACAAAAAUUGAUAUUCUAAAAAAAAUAAAAAAUAUAUAAAUUUUGAAUUAAUCAUGUUACGUAAUUACAUUGGAGGAAAGUAUAAAAAUUUAAAAAAUUAAAAUAUAUUUAAAAUAAAAUGGUAUUGUUUAUACAACCUACUAGCAAACAAUAGAAAAAAAAAAAACCAACAUAUUUUUGUAUUCAUUACAUCAUUAUUUUUACUUAAGAAAAAGGCAUGUACUAAAGAGAGAUAUCAAAUAAAAAAAGAAGAGGCGCAACGAGUAAUAGGCGAUAGCGAGGUGAUCAGGGAGAUUGCACUUUAGUAUGCCUCAAGUGUUGGUGUUCUUUUAUUAGAUAGUUGAUUCUGUUAUAUCUGAAGAUAUAGACUCAUGAUCUCCUUUGUCUUGUUUUCUUAAUUCUGCAGCUCCAAACUAAAACUUUGGUCGGGCUUGUGUGGUAAGAUUGUGGAAAAACUUUAUAAAAAAAAAAGUUGAUAGAAAAAAUUAAAAAUAUUUGCAUAGCAAAUGGAUAUAAAAAAAUUUAGAUUGAAAGUUGAUGAGUAGAAAAAAUUAGUUUUGCAGAAGAAAAUAAAUGAAGAAUUAUUUAUUGUGAUGAAUUUGGAGAUUUGUAGGAGUAUUUAUAGAUUUUAAAAAAAUUUAAAUAUUUUUAAAAAUAUAAAAAUAUUUUUUAUUUUGACCAAAAUGCCCUCUCUAACUGUCAAAUUUUUUAAUGUUAGUGGGGCAUUGUGGUCAUAUAUAUAUAUNACGAGAUUUGAUUUUAAUUAAAUCAAAGAAGUACCAGUUUCCUAGGUACCGAGAUAAUCGAAAGUUUCAACUGAACAAAAUUCUAUUCACCAAAUUAAAGAAUCGAGAAUUAAUUAAAAACUUUAUUUUCAAUCGAUUUAUUUGAUUGGGGCAUUUUCAUGACAAGAUAGAAAUUUAGUUGAACGAUUACACGUGAUAAAAGAGUACAGCUCCCUCACAACACGCGCCGCAGCUUGAAAACUGGAAAGCAUGCAUCCCGAAGGUAUUAAAAAGAGACUCUAAUUAAUAGAAAAUAUGGAUUUUGAAAUGCAGUGUGGACAGAAUGUAUUUCGACGGCGGCGGCGGCGGCGGCAGCAACGGAUGGAUGCUCGCUCAUGCUUUCGACCGGCGGCACGUGGUCGUGAGAUCAUCAUCAACAGGCGGCCGGCCGUCAUCCCUCCCUGAUCCUGAUCCGCUAACCCUGUCUUAUUACAUUAUAAUGAUUAACACAAAAGGAAGAUGUUCCGCAGUCCCCAGUGACGUCGGACAAAUCCAUAAAAUAACCCAAAAUGCUUUCGGUAAGAAAUAGUUAAUAGCAUCCAGGCAACAACGACAAUCCAGUAGUUUAAUUAAGUUACAUAAUAAAGCAGCACGAGUUGAGCUUUCUAGGAAAAAAAAAAAGAAAAAAAGAAAAAAAGAAAAAAAUAAAGAAAAAAAAAACUAAUUGGUUAACUUACACUAAAUUUUUAAUUGAGUAUCUUCUUCUCUAAUCAAAUAAAUAUAUUAAUUUGAUCAGAUUAAUCUACUUUUUUUAUGAAGAAUAAUGGCGCGAAUUGGCUAAAAAAAAUAAAAAAUUAGGACGCUAUGAAUGCAUAACAAAGAAAAAGAAAAGAAGAAAAAGGUAAUCUAAUUGGGAAGGCAAGAAAAGAAAUAAUAUUGUAAACCAAAAAUUUGACAAAUUUUUCACUCUACUAUAGUCCAUAUUUAUAGUGUGCUUAAAAUUGAAAAUUUUUAUAAGUGUUAUCUAUUAAAAAGAAGAGCCAAUAUAGAAAAGAGUAAAUGGAGGAUUUAAUUCUCUUAUUUAAUUUCUAUUAGAUGAGCUGCGAAAUUAAAAAAGCAUUAUUGGAAACUUUAUUUAAAGAUUCCAUUUUUAGAAAGAAAAACGAUCAAAUUAAAUGUGCAUUAAUUUAAAAUUUUUUAUUUGUUUAAAGUAGAGCAUGAAGCUAAUUACUUUCAGUUACUAAUCAUUGAAGCCAAAAAGAUUAUUAUAUAUAUGAAACAUUGGAUUAAUUAUAUGUAUUAAUUAUAUAUUAAACUAUAGUUAUUAUUGUGAUUAUAUAUCCAUAUCAGUUACUAAUCAUUGAAUUUCUCAUUUUGUUCUUUCUAAAUAUGGAAAAGUUAUAGAUUAUAGAUAAGAAGUAGUUUAAUUCAAAGAUGGGCUAUAAGAAUGAAAGAUAACUUACCACGUAGCAAGAAAUAUUAUGACUUCAUAUAGGUUUAUAGAUAAGGCUAAAACUCUGAACUCGGAUUAAACAUUUUGGGUGGUAGUUAAGCCCAAGAGGUUAAGAGAGUUAAGCGUAUUAGGGUAGGAGUAGUCCUAAGAUAUGUGAUCUCGUGGGAAGUUGGGGCGUUACAGUUGGUAUCAGAGCCAAUUACCAGCCGAAAGUGUGAGAUAAGUCUCAGCAGAGUUAGAAUUAUACAGUGAGGAGAGUGAGGCUCUCAUACAGUUAACUGUUGUGGGUAUAACGCAGCUCACCAUAAGGUCGGUUUAAAUUAGCUAGACGAAUCUCACAUAACCUGAUACUUGUAAAACUGAGCCUGAUGAGGACGUCAGGGUUUAAGAAGGGGAGAAUGUGAGACCCCGGGUGGUCCUAUAUAUGAGAUAUAAUAAGGCUAAAACUCUUAACCCGGCUUAAACAUUUUAGGUGGUGGCUAAGUCCAAGAGGUUAAGAGAGUUAAGCGUGUUAGGACGAGAGUAGAUCUAGGAUGGGUGACCCCCUGGAAAGUUAGGACAUUAUAGUGUUAAUACCACCUUAACCUGUCACAUUCUGAUUUCACAACAGAAGCCCACUGAAACGUCAAAAGACCUGCCGAACGGGCAGAGUUUUUUUUUCUGUCCGAACGAAGCGUCAACAAAUCAGAAUAGUAGCAAAACAGGUCUAAACAAAGAAUCAGCCCAAAAACCAGUUCUAAAAUCUACAACCAGCAUUCAACAUGUAUUGGAGCACUACAAACAAUAGUAAAACUAUAUCAUCACUGUACAUCAAAAUUGGCGAGGCCAAGAUGUUCUAUUUGUAUAUACACGAAAAAUUUCUAUAUAUACGACAGGUCUGUUAACGAGCCCGAAAAACGUGGACAUCCGGGGCGUGACAGUCUGCCAGACCCUUGGACUUUGGUAAAAAAGCAAGUUUACCCAGGCCUAAUUUAUAUAGGCCAGGCUUAACCAGGCCUAUAAUUUUAAAAUUCAAAGGCUUAUACACCUACAGUACUUGGGCCAUGCCGGAUCGACAGACAUGGCCCAUGCGGACCAUGCCGUGCUGGGCUGCGGGCCGACCUUCCGACUCGGCAUGGCUCGAGCCCGACAUAGGCUGCGCUGUGCAGGGCUUACGGUCGCAAAAGCUCGGCCCAACAUGGCUCGGAGAGCCAGGCCGGCCCGGCCCGGCACGAAUGCUACAGUAGGUGGCCCCAUUUUGCAUCCCUACCCAUGGAUGUAGGGGUGUCAAUGAGCUAAACAUGAGCUGGCUCGUUAAAGUAUCGAAUCGAAAAAUUCAGCUCUUGUCCGACUCGUUAAAAAAUAAACCGAGCACGAGCUGGCUUACGAGCUGAUCAAUGAACAAUAAGUUAAAUGGAUUAGAUUGGAUAUAUAUAAAAAAUAAAUUUAUAAAAUCUUAUCCAUUAAACUUUAAUCUAAUGAUUGAAAAAUUCAGCUCGUAUUCGGCUUGUUUACUAAAUGAUUGAGUGAUUUGAUCUCAAACUCAUUUCGAGGCGAACACGAGUUGACUCACGAACAACGAGCUGGAUUGAGAACCCUACAUGGAUGGACCCAAACACAAGUAUACACCGGCGCUUGCGGGGUACAACUCUGUAGAAAAAUUUCGUGCACAAAACUAGAGAGAAAUAACACUAAACUUAUGUAUAAAGACAUUAAACUUCAAGUUUCAAAUUUUAAAUUUCAAAUUUUAAAUUUCAAAUUUUAAAUUUUAAGUUUUAAAUUUCAAAUUUUAAAUUUUAAAUUUCAAGUUUCAAAUUUCAAAAUUUAAAUUUUAAAUUUUAAAUUUUAAAAUACAAUUUUGUAUUUUAAAUUUUAAAUUUUAAAUUUAGAUUUUAAUUUUUAAUUUUAUAUAUUUAUAUUUAAAUUUUAGAUUUUAAAUUUAUAAAUUUCAUGCAUAUUUAUAUUUUAAAUUAAACUAUUAUAUUUAUAAUUUUGUUCAAAUUUCAAAUUUCAAAUUUCAAAUUUCAAGUAGAGGAACCGAUAAACUAUAUGAUACAGUUUAAACAACCAAAUUUCUAAAACUAAAAGCUGAUCAAUCAUACUAUGCAUAUCCCAGAAGACCCUAGAUUUAAAGUUGAUCAGUCAUCAAAUUACAGCAUCAAACUUGGAUAUCGAGAGAAAAAAAACUAUCUUGACACUUUAUUAUAGGAUGUAAAUCUUAAACUCCUUGACCCAGUAGUUUAAAAUAUUGAGAAUAAGCAAUUCGCUCUAAUACUAAUUGUUGUAAAUUAGGUAUUUGCUCCGUUAGCGAUUGGGUUUUUACUGCAAAUCCGUUAUACAACUAUAAAAAAAAAAACUCAAACAAAAAAAAAUAUAUAUAAUAAAAUUAACUAAUAAAAUGAGGAAUUACAUCUAGGGAUGUCAAUGGAUACGGAUACUUAAAAUUUUAUUCAAAUCCUAAACCGAACAUGACGGAUUUACUCGAUACUAAAUGGAUGUGGUUUAAACCCGACAUAUUUGGAUUUAGGUAUUGAUUUUGUCCUUACUAGACCUGAACCUAAACCCGAUUGUAUUUUACAUUAUAUAAUAUAUAUGAAUGUUGAGAAUAGGUCUUAUGUACUAUUAGGAGCCCGAAGGCCUCUGUGCUGCUAAGUCGUUUUCGAUAAUAAAGCUUUUGAAUCGACGAUUGGCUCUAUUAGAUUUGAUUUAGCAUAUUUGAAGUAUCUAGAAAAUAAAUUUGUGAUUUCGAUAUCAUUUGCCUCGCGAUCAGAAGGGUUCAAAAUCAAUGGCUGAAAAAAAAAAUCCCACAAAAAGUGAUAAUAUAGCACCAAAUUUUCAAUCAGAGAUAUUGAUCUUGCAGUAAAUAGUAUAAAAAAUUUUCUAGCAAAAUUUUAUCUGAUUUGAAUACUUUUACACCGUUAAACUUGCAAACGAUAUAUAUCAACCUUUAAAAAUUAUUGAUUUUUAACCAUUUCGAUCGUUAGGUAAAUGAUAUCGAAAAAUCGUAAAAUUUAUUUUUUAGAUAUUUCAAAUAUUCUAGAUCAAGUCUAACGGAGCCGAUCGUCGAUUCGAAAGCUCCACAUCGAAAACAACUUAGGAGCACGAAUGCCUCCGUGUUCCUAAUAGCUCACAAGACCUACUCUGAAUGUUUGAUGUUUUGCACUUGUAUUUUAAAAUUUUAGAUUUUAAUUUAUAUAAUAUAUUUUGAAAUAUGAUAAAAAAAAUAGGGCUAAUUUCGUACAGGUCUCUGCAAAUAUAGUAAAUUACAAAUAUAUUCCUAUAAAGUUCAACUUUCAUAUGUUGUUCCUGCAAAAAAGUUCUAAUAUUUUAAAAUAUGUUUCUCUAAUUUCUUACCGUUGUAGAACUAUUUAUAUCUUAAGUGAAAUGUCAAGUUAUCUUAUAAACUUAUCAGAGUUAAGUAUUUAACCUAUGUUUAACUAAGAUUUUUUUUUAACGGAUUCUAACGGUAGGAAUAUAUUUGAAAAUUUAGGACUUUUGUAGGAACAAUAUAAAAGUUGAACUUUGUAGAGAUAUAUUUGUAAUUCAUUAUAUUUGCAGGGACAUGUAUGAAAUUAAUUAGCCCAAAGAAAUAAUUACUUCCGAUUCCAAUUUUCGGGAUCCUGCUCGGGUUUCGAAAUUUUGUUUGGAUUCGAAUUUCGAAAUCAGUUUUCAAAACCCACCGGGUCCCAAUUAUGAUUUGAAUUUUGAGUUGGAAUUUCGGAUUCGGGUUUGGUUUUUAAAAAAAUCUACUCCCGAAUCCGACCCAAUUACAUCCGCUUAAAUCCAAGGUGAGUUUAGGUGCAUGCAACAGCUGACGUCAGCCAUACGCAAUCAGCAUGACGUCACGGUGUAAAAUUAGUGCAUUCACUGCAACGUACCCGGAUCUUUAUAUACAUUUUGAAUUUUUAUUUGUAUUCUAAUUUAAAAGUUUAAAUUCUAUACUAUAAAUAUUACAAAUUUAAAUAUUUAUGAUUUAAUUACAAAUGUAAUCGAAUUCUAACAUAGAAACCCCUCUUUCAGGAUUAAAAAUAAAAAAUAAAAAAUCGAUAAUGCCAGUGAGUAAAUAUAAUUCUUCGCAUAGUUGGGACGUAAAAUUUAUACCAUAUAUAUAAAUUAGUUUAAUUAGUAAUUUCACUCAAGGAGAGGAUCUACUAAACUAUCCAGUAAAAUUUAAAAUAUCUAAUUAUCAAAACUAAAAGUCGAUCUAUUAUACUUUGAAUAUUUUAGAUUUUCUAAACGUGAGUUGAUCUCUCAUCAUACUAUAAAAUAUAGGAAAAAUUUCGAAUACCACCCCUUGUGGUUUCACAUUUUCUCACUUUAGUACCAUAUGGUUUAAAGUAUAUUAAUUUAAUGCCCUGUGGUUUUUUUUUUUUUAUCUUUUUAUUAUCGGUUCCACUAAUUUAAUUUUUUCGUUAAAUUAGUGACAAAAUUAAAAGUAAAGGGCACUAAAGUGAAUAUUCGAUAAACUUAGGUGCGGUAUCUAAAGAUUUUUGUAUAUAAUUUAGCAAAAUAUUAACGAAAAAGCUGACGAAAAGAUAAAAAUGAAACCACAUGAUACUAAUUUGAUACACUUUAAACCUCAGGAUACUAAAGUGAGAAAGUGCAAAACCACAGGGGUGGUAUUUGAAGUUUAUCCUAAAAUAUAAUAUCGAAGUUGGAUAUUAAAUUCUAGAUAAGAACGUACAGAAUUUGAAUCAGCUAUCCAAUUUUUCAAAAUUUUGAUUUUACUAUACAAUAUUUCAAUUUGUUUGAUUUGAUUUAGGCAACUGUAUUUUGGCUUCAAAUUUUAAGCUAAUUAAUUGCUUUAGUAAAUUUAUAGUUGUAAAAAUUAUAUGGAUUAUAUUAACUAAAUCUGUAAAGGUAAAUGAUGUAGUUAAAUUAAGAAAUGAAUGUGCCGUUAAUUGACUAAAUAAAAUAAAUUAAAAUAUUAGCUAGUAAAAUCAAAAUUUUAAAAGGUGGAGAAGCCAAUUCACAAUAGUACAUAAUUCAGGUAAGUCCUGUAUGUUUUUAGCUAAAAAUUUAUACGGUUAGUCGAUCUAUACCCCUGCAUUAUGCACAAAAAAAAAAAAAAAAAAGCAAAAAUGAAAAAAGUAAAGCACACCAUUAUUUUUUAGCUAUCGGAUUAUUUUAAGAUUCGCACAGCACUAAUAAAAAAAAUUUAACGAGACACCGUUAAUAAUGCUGCCACGGAUCUUGAGGCUCUCCGACGACCUUUUUAUUAUUAUUAUUAUUAUUAUUAUUAUUAUUAUUUACUUGGCGGAGAGCUCUAUGACUAGUGCAUAACCCAAAUCAGAUGGAGAAAAUAAAUAAAAAAAGGUAAAAUUCCAAAAAGAUAGCAAAAGAGAAAACACAGGAAUUAAUUAAUAGUUCUUAAACUAUAGUAACGAAAAAUAGCAACGAUCUUUAUCAACUUAAUUAACAAGUUACUAUAAUCACAAAUUCAUAUAAUUAAAUCCUUAAAAAAAAAAGAAAAAGAAAACCCAAACUGUUAGAUGAAAUUUGAUGGAAACUAAUUUUAAGAAAAAUAAAGUAGGAAAUUAAGCUAACAAGUGCCCUAAUAAUUAAUCACUAGACUAGUUUCUACAUAACUGUGCAAUAACUGUCAUAGCCAUAAUCUGGAACAAUACAUGCGUAUGGUGGUGGUGGUACCACAAUACACUCGGCUGGUUUCUUCUCUUCCUUUUUCUUUUCCUUCUCUUCUCCAACACUGAUCAGUUCCACGCAGCAGCUUACGCGCUUUCUCAGCACAUUCGUUAGGGUUACUGGGUCGAAUAACCCAUCGCCGACCAAUACGAUCCGAUCAUCUUCCACUGAUGCAGAUGUAAUACCUAGAGGUAUAAUUAAUAGAGGGUAAACUUAUGGGAGGACCCCUGAUCUGCUGACAAUUUAUAAUUUUGUCUCUAGUCUUUUGUUCAUACAUUAAUUAGGCCCCUAAUAUUUUUAGCCUAGGUGCAUUUUUUGAGAAUGAAACUCUCUACUUGUGCUUGUAUUAAUUUGAGCAUGUAAAGUAACUAAUAACAAAGAUUUUGAACCUACUUAAACAAACCAAGGAUUGUAUAUUACAUUGCAAUAACUCAGUUAAUUUUAAUGACUAUUUCUUAAAAAAUUACAUUAAAUUAAAUCACAUUGUUUUAGAAAUUCUGUCGAGGGGGGGGCAUAGCGUAAUGGUUCUCAAAAUAUUUCAUAAUUUUUCAUAAAUUUGUGGCAUCUCAAUAGUCCCACAUCGAAUAGUUAUGACUAGAUGUGGAAAUAUAUAAACUUGAUUGGGUUAGACAUAAUAACUGGGCUUAAGCAUUUUGGGCUGGUGGUUUAGACCCAACGACUUAUUUUUGUGACACCCAAUAGUCCAACGUCGGAUAAGAUUGGAAUUGUCAUUGGGUAUAUAAAAAGACUCCGCCCAAAUAAUAAUAACUAGGAUUAACUAUUUUGGGCGGAUCGGGUGGUUACAAAAUUAUCCACAAAUAAAUAAACUACUUGAUUAUAGAGCACAAGUACAAGGGAAUAGGGAUCUUAGUGUGGGUAAUUUAAUUACCAGGAAAUCCAGCAGCAAUUUGAAGUGUUUUUUGCCUCCUCUUGGGAUCAUUCAAUUUGACCUUAAGAACCACCUUUUUCUGCAAUUAAUCAACAAAUUAACAAAACAGAUAAUUUAAAGUAACAUAGCUAGACCCUUCUUUUCAUAAUCUGACCUUUCAUAACCUUUAUUCUUUGUUUCAAUCAAAUUGAUCCCAUCGUCAAACACCUCUCAUCAACGUUCAUACGUAGAAAACAGCAUUAGGUUUCGUUACACUUACAGGAGUUUUCAUCAAUGGCGAUAACUUAAAUAAAAUAAGUAAUAAAAGUUAAGUAUAUCUGAUUACGAAAAUAUAAAAAGUUCGUGAGUGAAGUGAACAAAUGGUGCAUAUAUAUGCAAUCAAUGGUGCAUAUAUAUGCAAUCAAACUCCCAUAUAUAAUAACACAAACUCAGCAUUUAACUCACCUUAGCCAUCUUUGUAAGAGAAAUAACUACUUGUAAGCCUGCAAUGUUUUUUUUUUUUUUUUUUAAGGGUUAGAGAGAGAGAGAGAGAGAGAGAACAAGCAGUUUAUGUGUGUGUGUAUAUAUAUAUAUAUAUAUAUAUAUAUAUAUGUAGAUAGUUGGGGUUUGCAUAACUAUAUGAAGGUUUCCUACUAUUUAUGUAUUGGGGGUUGGGAGUGUGGGGGUGGGGUUUUGUAUUGAGUCAAAGUCAAUGGACCACAUGCAUGUUAUUGUUGAUUCUUCUUGUGAAGUUUGUGUCCAUCACAUCACAUGUACGCCUCUCCCACUCUUCUAUAUUAUGAGAUGUGGAACCUCACAUUCUUUUGCAUUAUGGAAUGUGGGAUUUAUUAGGUGUUACAUUAAUCUCUCCCUAUAUUAUCGUCAGUCUCGUCCUAAUCACACUAAUAAGCGACGUGAGAUCAGCUCACACUUUUGACUGAUAAUAUAGCUCUAAAUAUAGCUCAAAAUGUUUAAUUCUAGCUAUUAGUUCUACUGUAUUGGUCUCAUAUAAACCUUUUACAUUCUCUCAUAACAUCCGAUGUAGGAAUAUUAAGUGUCGCCAAAACUAUGCAUGCAUGCAGUUUGAUAAUCUAUUAGCUGAAUAGUAAUUAGUCGUGAAAAUAAAUAGCAUAGAAAAAGUCAUUAUUGAUUGGUUUGUAAGAAAUUGGGAUAAAAUAUUUAUUACUUUUGAUUUAUAGAGCUAGGCUGGUAUACUAUCGGUAGCACGGAGGGCUCCGUGUUAUCAAGUUGUUUUCGAUGAUGCGGCUUUCAAAUCGAUAAUCGGCUCCGUUAGACUUGAUCUACACUAUUGAAAGUAUUUGGAAACUAAAUUUCAGAUUUUUUCGACAUCAUUUGACUAGUGAUCAAAAGAUCUCAAAAUUGACAAUUUUAAUAGCCGAUGUGGUGUGUUUGUGAGUUUAACGGUGUAAAACAAUUCAAAUCCGAUGAAAAUUUUAUAGAAAAUUCUUUUCACUAUUUAGAGUAAGAUCAGUAUAUCUGAUCUUGAAUUUAAAUCUUUUAUCAUCAUAUUUUAUGAGAUUUUUAUUUUCAGCCGUUUAAUUUUAGACUACUUGUUUGAUAGGUAAAUGAUAUCGAAAAAUUAUGAAAUUUAGUUUCUAAAUACUUUCAAUAGUAUAGAUCAAGUCUAACGGAGCCGAUCGUCGAUUUGGAAGCCGCAUCAUCGAAAACAACUUAAUAGCACGGAGCCCUCCGUGCUAUCGAUUGUAUAGUAGCCGGACUCUUCAUUCAUAUGUAGGCCUUCAAUGAGUUACAUUUUGAAUUUUAAAACCUUUAUUGUAAAGGUUUAAUGGUAUGGCAUAUAUAAAUGUAUUUUUAUAGCACUGGAGGUGAUGAUUUCUCAACAAUUAUACUCAUCUUCAGUUUCAUUCAUGGGUUUGGCUUGGACCCAAAAAACUGAACCCAAACUCAAAAGCAAAAAUAUAUAUAGAUAUAUAUAAUAUAUGACGAUCCAUACGGCUAAAUAUGAUCUUGGCUAUGUUAACUUUAUAUGUUUGAAAUUUUAUGAUUUUACGAUAUUAUUUAUCUUGUGAUCAAGUGGUCUCAAAUUCACUAUGUAUAUUAACCAUUAAAAAUUAUUAUUUUUUAAUUUUUAAAUCAUUAAAUAGUAAGCAAAUGAUGCCAUAAAAUCAAGAACUUUUAAAUUCAAAAAGUUCAAAUAGUGUACAUUAAGUUUAGCAGUGUGGAUCAUCAAGCCGAUUUUCCCAUCGCUAGAAACAACGUGAUAAGAAAUUUCUCUAUUUACUUUCAAAAGUAGUCCAGCUGGAUAUAUACACGUAUAGUUUGACAACUUAAAAAAAAAAGGAAAACUUUAAAAAACCUCCUUGUGGUUUCGCACUUUUUUAUUUUAGUACUCUGUGGUUUAAAGUGUAUCAAGUUAGCACCAUGUGGUUUCUCAUUUUAUCACUUUAGUACUCUGUAGUUUAAAAUGUAUCAAGUUAGUAUUCUGUGGUUUUAUUUUUGUAUCAAGUUAGUACUCUGUGAUUUUAUUUUUGUAUUAAGUUAGUACCCUAUGAUUUUUAAACCACAGAGUACUAAAGUGAUAAAGUGCGAAACCACAGGGUACUAAAGUGAUAUAGUGCGAAACCACAUGGUACUAACUAGAUAACCUUUAAACCACAUGGUACUAAAGUGAAAAAAAGUGAAACACAAGGAAAGUAUUUGAAGUUUUCCCAAAAAAAAAAAAAAAAACCAAAAGCUCUCUCUCUUUCUCUCUCUCUCUCUAUAUAUAUAUAUAUUAAUGAAAUACUUUGAUAUUUAGUAUACUGAAUAGUCUGGUCUUUGGUUUUGGAUACAAGUUUUCAAGUUUUAUUUAGAUCAUAUUUGAUUUUCCGUAAGUGAAAUAACAAAAAUGGUGCUUUGAUUAAGUGGUAUUAUUCUAGUUGCUUGAUUUAUAAAAGUGAACAUGUAAAUUACUUUUAAAAAGUAAUCAAUAAAGUGGGUUAUAACUAAAAUUCAUUUUUUUGACUUCGACCUAAAUUCCGAAGUAGCGGCAACAAAUUAAGAAGAUUAUCUCCUAACAAGAAGAUCUCCUAUUCUAGCUGCCAAACAAGCAAGUUUAUCUCUCUAUCUCCAUGUUUUUUUUUUAUAUUUAUAUUUCUUGAUCUAAUUAUGUUAUGCAUUUAAUUUUCUAUUAUUAUGCUAUUUAAUCAAAGUUUUAUUCUGUGAUGUUGUUUACUUACAAAUUGCUAGCUUAUUAAUGUUUGUCUUUUCUUUUUCUUUUAUUCUUGUCCUUUUGAGGUAUAGUUAUUAUUUUGUGAUAUUUUUUCAUUUGGUACAUGUUGUUAUCUUUUCAUAAUUUGUUAUCUCGUUCAAAAUAGUUUAAAUUUGUGAAUGGAGAUGGAUUAUGAUAAGGAUGAAGAUUUUGACACAACUACAUUGACUAUCGUAAUUAUUUGUAUUAAUUUUCUAAAUAGAAUUUCUAAAAGUCAUAAACUGUACUUUUCUUUUUUUUAUAUUUUUUAAACCAAAUAAUCAAACUCAAAAAGUACUUUUUCGAAGGUCACGUUUUGAAAAAUGACUGUUUUCACUUCGACGACUUACGAGCAAUCAAACAUGCCCUUAGUAAGGCAGUUGCAGUUUUGAUUUCUAUACUUCCUUAGGGUAUGAUUUUAUUUUUGAUUUUUUUUUAUUAAGAUUUUAUGGAUACUGCCAAAAAUCAACAUGUUAAGUGGGGAGAGAAAUAGUUUUCGGCAGUAAAUACUUACUUCUAUUAUUUACUUCAUCUUUGCAUGAAACUCAAACUUUCUAAAAUAACGUAACUAAUUACAACGCACUUCAAUUUGAAGUCAAUUACGAAAAAAAAAAGUGAGAAAAAAAAAUAAAAUAUUAAUCAAUCUCUCAUACCUACAGCCAUUACGUCUUUCACUUCUUACAGAUGAAAGAAAAAUAUUUGCAUCUAAACUAUAAUUCAUCCGAAAACCUACUUUAAUCUGAGAUUUGUUGUCUAAAAUCCCUAACCAAACAACAUGGGAAAGAUGAAAGGAGUAGGUCUUGUGUGCUAUUAGGUGCACGGAGGCCUCCGUGCUUCUAAGCCGUUUUCGAUGAUGGAGCGUCCGAAUCGACGAUCGGCUCCGUUAGACUUGAUCGAGCGUACUUGAAGUAUCUAGAAAAUAAAUUUUGCGAUUUUUUGAUAUCAUUUACAUAGCGAUCGAAAGUGUUCAGAAUCAACGUUUGAAAAUAAAAAUCUCAAAAAGAGUGGUGAUAUAGCACUAAAAUUUUCGAUUUGAGAUAUUAAUCUUGCAGUAAAUAGUACAAAAUUUUUCUAUCAAAGUUUUAUCUGAUUCGAAUACAUCUACACCGUUAAACUUGUAAAUGAUAUACAUCAACCAUUACAAACUGUUAAUUUUUAAUCCAUUCGACCGCUAGGUAAAUGAUAUCAAAAAAUCGUAAAAAUUUAUUUUCUAAAUACUUAAAAUACACUAGAUUAAGUUUAACGAAGCCGAUCGUCGAUUCAGAAGUCCCAUCAUCGAAAACGGUUUAGAAACACGAUGACCUCCGUGCUCCUAAUAGCACACAAGACCUACUCAAGAUGAAAGCACUUCCCCACCUACUAGGGCAAGGAAGCAUGUGCUUGUAGACACCUCAACAAAUAAGUUGCUUUAGACACCUCAACUAAGUCUCAAUUUGUUGAUGUGAUCACUUAAAUUCCGGAGAGUUGGUACCAGGAAAGGUAUAAAUAAACACUUAACCCCAUCAAUAUCAGUGACUAUUAAAAGCAUUAAUAGUAUGAAACAAUCGUUGUUUUUAAAAAACUUAAAUCAUGAGAGAAUAAUGUUUUUAGUAUUUACAUUCAGCAUUCUUUUUUAUAUCCGAACUUGAGACUUUUUAAUAGGCUAAGACGUUAGACUGAAUUAAACGGAGAAAAUUAAACGAAGCAAUCCAAAAACUUUAAUUAAGCUACAGUGUCACGCCCCGGGGUUCCCUUUUUGUUUGAAAUACAGCGGAAAAGCGUUUGAAUUUUUUUUUUUGAAAAUCUGACCCCAGAGUAUGCCAGAUCCGCCACAAAUACAGGGAAUCCACUGUUCACACGGACAGAGUCUCCCCUGUACUUGCACGGCGUCAUACAAGUACAAAAGUACAAACAGUAUACAACCACAAUCAAAUGAAUAUAUAGAUAGCUAUACAUUCAUACAUUCCCCAUUCACAUCACAGUUUUACAUUCGAGGUUUAAACAGAAAUCCACAAAAACCUUUUGAAAGCUGUUUCCUACACAGAAACCUUUAUUCUUUUAAAAACGCUGCCACGAGGGGUAGAAAAUCUUUUAUUUUACAAAAUCCAGAAAUUCUUUGAUUACAUUCAUGAAAGUCCAAUUAUUUCCAAUGUAAUAAAAAUAAUGAACCAUUAUAAAGCUGGACUAAGCUAGUAACAACAGAAUAGUAGGGAAAAACUAAACCGAUAAUUGGGUCGGAAGGCUCUAUCGAACCGCGUCGAACGUACCCUCACGUCUCGUCCCAAAACUCAAUGCCAAUGUAAUACCUGAAAAUAGUGGGGGAGGUGAGAACAUUGUAAAAACAUGUCUCCCCUCCCAGUGUACGCAAGCGAAGCGAGGCGAGCGAUACUCACCGGAUCAGAAGAGAUAAAACAAGCAGUGAUGGGUAAGUAAAAUACGUAGCACAUGCAUACAUGACACGAAUGAAGAAUAGUAUAUAUGAAAGCACAACUACCGCUCCUGUAAUGUACACUGAAAGCAUACAAGGCAUAUCAACACUAUAGUUGCAAGGACAACGUUAAAGAAAGACUAGAAAGUAUAUAUGCCAACAACUGUACUAAUAGCUAUAUUGCGUUAACCGGACGAGAAGUACAAACGUACCCAAUCUAAAUCGCCCGUGUCGGUCUAAGGACCUCAGCAAAAGCCACUACUGCUCACACCUGGCCUGGUAACCCUAGCACAAAGGAGCACACCGCACUGCGGCUCACUGGUCGAUGUCGACACUAUUUCCGGAAAGAACACCCUCCUGCGGGGAUCACCCGCUUGGUGUACGUGAAAUGCACUCGAGCCUGUGGCGAUCAAUGCCGGAUAUGAUCAAUGUCAACCAAGAUCGGCGCAUCAGCCGCAAUCACUGCCCCCUCUGGGCAUACCGACCGUGUACGUUUCAUCAUAACAACCGUGACCGACGGAUAGCGUCAAAUGUACGCCGAAAGAUACGAACGACCAAACAGGUCACGAUGCAAAAUAGGAGAAGCGCCAACCAGGUCACAAGUAUAGUAUAUUAAGAAUAACCACCUCUAACUCUACCUAUAACAGUAUACUACACAUAGAACAAUCAGGCAGAAGUAAAUAAAGAAGUUAUGUAGUACUGCACGAUGUAACUAAAAGUACGAAGCAAGGAACUGACGAUAGCGUCACAGGAGUGUAUCGAUAUAGGUCCAGAACUACCGUCAGCACCAGCUGACACUCCUACCCCUCAGGGUAUUACACCGACCUCAAAGUGUCAUCGACGACGGAUCUCAUGAAGGCCUGACUUGGAUAGCGUCACAAAAUAUACCAAACAGUUUGAACUGACCGGUAAACCUAUAAUAAUACGUCGAGUUAGCCAAUAUCCCACCCCUUAGGGUAUUACCGCACCUCAAGGGUCAAUCGAACGAAGUACGAGAACCAACAACCAGUAGUUCAACAGGAUACUGAUAUGGCAACAACAAACAACUGAGUCAACGAUACUGAUGCAACAACAGACCAACCUGGUUCAACAGAUAACGAAAUGCAACAACCAACCAACUAGCAUCAACAGAUACUGCAUAUAUAAAGUAGAACUGCUCUUACUCCUAUCUGUAUACAAAGCGAUACAAACAGCGAGUAGUGUUAACGAAUACAACAAGGGUGCAAGGUCAAUUAUACUAUGGAUAGUAAAACAGAAGAGCAAGGGUAAGAAACCAUCACCAAGCGUGCACACUAGUACGACGUCGGAGUCGAAGUACCUACCGUUAACAAGCCUGAAACGCGAUCUCCGAAAGGCGUAGACGGAACGACCGGACCUACGAAGGGUCCACCGGUGUUAGAGUAUAACCCAAAAACACAAUAACACGACCUUCUCACACAAAUCCAAAUCAUACACCUCUUGAAAUCGGUUUCUCAAACGCAACUAGACACUAGCCGAGUGCUCGAAAUCGUACGAAACUUCCACCGCUCGGCCUCACCCGUCGUUUUCCGGACCCUCGAGAAGACGCGUGGACAGCCAACAAGGAUCAGCGACGCAUACAAUCAAACCACGAGCACCGUCGAUGAAUUCGAUGUCGGAAAAACGUUCUAUCGGCGCGAUUUUGCCGAAAAACGGUCCGGAAAUGGCGAUAUUGAUUUCCGCCAAGGCUUGGGGGCUUGACGAUCAGUCCAGAAGUUGUCCUGACCGCUUAACUUGUUGCAACAGCAUGCCACGACGAAGCGAAACGCAAAAGAUCCCUAACGGCACAUGAAAUCACAUUAUUUUAUGUGAUUUCAUGACUCCAACGGGUCGUACCAGCAAACCAGGAUCUCAGAGGUGCCAUCACAGCUUGUUGGCUAGGUUUAGCAUUGCCUGGCGUGCUCACUUCUCGAGAGCACUGCCGGCAGCAAACUACGCGCGCUACUGAGCGACGCGGAAACACAGCGAAACCAGCGGCGCCACAGCGCGACAGAUAGCACAUUACUCUCUAACAGGGCACCGUUAACCUAAAUGGAGGUGAGCAAUCGUGUUCACCAUGAGCAAACGAUUCAUCGUGCGUCACCUCUAGAGGUGUAAGGACUGAGAUUUUUACAGUUGCAACUAUAACUCUCUGUAGUUGCGAUGUUUAUGUGUGUUAUUUAAUAAUUAAGCACUCGUCAGUUUCAGGACGCAAAAUGAGCUAAAACGGAAAGUUACGCGAUUAUUAGUUUUCAUUUAACUGUGAAUAUUUAACUCGGUUUUUCGGGUGGAAGCACGCCAGUAGAGUUGGCUUUCUACGUGUAUCGGGACUCACGGUUCAUAAUCAGUUCCACAUAGCUUUUCACCGCGUUCAGCUGUUCUGAACUGAAUCGGACUGACGGAUUUGUGAGUUUGAGCACGGAUUUCGAGGAAAAUCAAAAAUACAUGUUUUAGAUGUAUUUUGUGUUUGCUUUCGAUUAGAAGAAAUGUUGGAUUUGCUCGUGAAUCCGUGGCGAUCGAGCGAUCGAAAUCGUAGUUGGUUGUCUCGAGGUGCUGAUCGACGGGUUGCUAUCCUGUUCGCAAAUCCUGACGGACGGCGAUCUCGGAGAUCGCGCGAUUGAUCGAGGGAGAGUAUCGGUGAUGCAAAACGGUAAAUUCGCAAAAUUGCGAAUUUUAUGUUACGCUUGCACGAGAUCGUAUGGAGUGCGUUACCGCGAUUGAACCCACUAUGAAGGACUAAGGUAUGAAAUACCAGAAGCCUUCGUGGUGUGACUAUUGUGCAAAAUUUGCACUCGGAUAUACAUGCCCCAAACCCACGAUGAUCGGUUUCCUAAAACCAACUAUCGUAACUCGCCGGAAGUCCCGAAAUCGCACCGGGACCCCGUCGGGACCCACGAACUGUCCCGGAACGUACCGACUCGUGCUACGAGUCAUCCGCUGCCACUAAACAUGAGUAAUCGUGUAUCAUGGCAGCAAACACCACUCCUUACGUCGAAACAAUUAUCGUCGAAUAAUCAUUUCGAUCCGGGUUCCCGGAAGUGUCUAUUUCGACACCGGAACCCACCGUCGCUCAUCCGUCAUUUCUGAACUCAUGAAAUGACGCGAGUGACCAGCCAAUAAGGCUCAACGACUAUACAAUAGCUCACGAAGCACCGUCGGAAUAAUUCCGAACCAAAACCGCGUUCCGUAGGCGGAUUUUGCCGACAAACGCACCGGAAAUACAUUUUCGGUCUUCGCAAAGGUCCGGGGCCUUGGACAAUCAGUCCAGAGGUCACCCCCAGCUCACCCAUGCUGCCAACAGCAGCCACGACAAAUCACAUUGCAUAAAAGCCCUUUCGAUUCCAAGAAAACACAUUAUUUCAUGUGUUUUUCGGGCUUUUAUGGUCCGUCUACGCAAACCAGAGGUCAAUCAGCCGAGCUAAGAUACCUACUUACAGAUUUCGACGUGCUGGAGGCUGUGCUCACCUUUCGGAGCACUGCCGACCACAGUGGAAAGCGCACAAGCAGUGUGAACUUCAGCAAAACAGCGCGCACUAUCACUUAAUCGCGUCAAACACGCAAACCGGGAAACCGUUGACCCCGACGGAGGUGAGCACGAUGUUCAGCACGAAGUAAGGAUCAUCGUGCUCACUUCCCGGAUCAUCGGAGUGUCCUCGGAUCACCAGAAAGGUGACCGGAACCCUAAACAACUAUGCUGGAACAAAACUAGCCUUACCGGAGCUUGGAGGAGCUAGGGCAGCACGACGGCGGCCGGACGGCGGGAGCUCCGGCGGCAGGAGGGUUUAGGCGAUGCAGGGAGGCCAAGGGAUGCAUCAGCCGGCGUCGGGAGGCGGCGGCGACGGCAGGCAUUGAUGCCCUAGUCACCCAACCCGAGGGAGGCAUCUGCCUAUUUCGGCUGACAGGAAGUUCCGGCGGCGGGGGCGCCGGCGGUGGACGAGUGCGGCCGGCCAGGCGGAGCCGGUGCUCGCGCCGGACGGUGGCGGAAGGCAGCGGCGGCGAUGCUGGACCAAACCGAGCCCACACGGGUUCACCACGGGCUCCAAAGGUAGCCGCGACCAAGGCGGCGACCGGAGGGAGGUCGGGGCGACGGCGGCAUGUCGCCGGAGGUCGAGGAAGGUCGGCGCACCAUGUGUCGGGUGGCGGCGACGCGCGGUGGUCGAGAAGACCAAGUCUCGGCCGUUCAAGGUUGGGCGGCCGCAGAAAGGGAGAGCGGCGGCCGGCGGUGUCGGGAGCGGCGGCGAUGGCGCGCGGGGGCACGCCGGAGGUCACCGGAGGGCGGCGCGACCGAUGGGGAACGGCGGUGGCGCGCGGAGGCAGGGAUCACCCAGGCUCGACCUGGGUGACUGCUGCUGGCCGCAGGGAGUUCGGGCAGCUCCGGCGUGGCACGGGGACGGCGGAGGCCGGCGGGGACCGCGCCGGGAAAGGGGUCUAGGCCGAGGGGAAGGCUUCCUAGGGUGGCUUGGAUCUUCUCUGAUGUCGAAGGCCGAAGGGGUGGUGGCACGGUGGAGGAAAGAGGUUGGCCAAGCAAUUCCGGCGGCCGGGGAAGCUCGCCGACGGCCGGGGUGCGCACACUGCUAGAGCAUGGACCUGCAGAUGGCGGCUAGGGCACAGAUGGGGCGCUGGGUCGAGUAGAUCUAGGGUUUCAUGCAUAGAAACCCUAGAUGCACAUUGAAAGAAGAUAUCGCCGCAGAAAGGGAGAGCGGCGCCGGCGGCGGAAGCGGCGGGGCGUGAUGCGCGCGCGGCACGCCGAAGGUCCCGCAGGCGUCGGCCGACCUGAUGGGGGUGGGAACCGGCGUGGCUGCCGAGCAGGGAUCACCUCAGUCUCACUGGGGACUGCGCCGAGGAGUUCGUGCAUCCGGCUUGGCACGGUACGCGAGCCGGCGGACCGCGCCGGGAAAGGGUCUACGCCUGAAGAAGUUUCCUAGUUAGUGGCUUGAUCUUCUCGAUUGAGCCGACAGGGUGGUGCACGGGAUGAAAAGUGGCCAAGAAUUCCGCGCGCGGGGAACUCGCCGACCGCCGGGCGCACACUGCAGAGCAUGGACUGCAAUGGCGCUAACACAGAUGGGCGCCUGUCGAUAGAUCUAUAGGUUCAUGCAUAGAAACGCUAGAUGCACAAGUAUAUCCGAGUGCAAUUUGCACAAAAUUCCACGAAGCAUUGGUGUUCAUACUAUCUCUCCAUAGUGUGCUUUAAACUCGUAACAGACCUCCAAAGACGAUCUCGUGCAAGUCGGUACAUAAAAUGCGCAACUGUUGCGAAUUACCGUUGCCAACACCGGCUCUCCUCGAUCUAGAUCGCGCGAUUCUCCGCAAUCCGUCCGUUGGGAUGUUGCAAUUAUCGACACGAUGCACCAAGGCGAUCAGCACCUCGGAGACAACAAAGCUAAUUCAUUUACGAUUCGUCUCUGAUCGACCACUAGAUUCACGACAAAAUCCAAACCUUCGUCCAGAUGCGGAAAGAAAACACACAAAAUACAUAAAACAUUAUUUUUAUAUUCGCGAAAUCCUACAUCAAACUCAAAAUCCGUCAGGCCAUUAGUUCCAGAACAGCGCUGAACCGUCGAAACCACUAUUGACCGAUAUGAACGAGUCGAAACACUAAAGGCCAACUCUAAUCGCGUGGCUUCACAUCGAAUAAACCGGAGUUACUUAUUCACUAAAGUGAUAAACUAAUAUCGCGUAAACUCUCCGUUUUAAGCUCAUUUUCAACCUAAACGUACAGUGCUUAUGUAAUAAAUUACACAGCAUUAAACACGUCAACAGAGAGUUUAGUUCAUACUGAAAAAAUCUCAUCCUACUAACAGAUAUAAUAUUUUUAGUAUUUUAUAUUAACACCGCUCAUUAUAUAUAUAAUAAAUUUACUAAUACAUUUAAUAUAAAUACACUCUUUUAAACUAUCAACUUUUUAACCCUUGAUGAAAAAUUGUAAGGUCAGAUGAUCAUUAGUCGUUAAGUGAGUGGUCCCCUAAGUUGAGUGUCCCCACUGGUUAUAGUAUUUAAUCCAAAUGGUUAGAAAAAUGAAAAAGUUAUCCAUAAGGCUAAAAAACAUAUACAAUAAUAAUUUGCUACUAAUAUACCCCAAUCCAACUAUAUAUAUAUAUAUAUAUAUAAUAUAUAUAAAAGAUAUAUUAUAUAUAUAAAAUAUAUAUAUAGUUGAUGUUCUGAAUACAAAAAAAAAAAAAAAAGAUAAAAUAAUAAAAUAUUGUAGCAAACGGCUCCGUCGCCAGCUCACAUUUUGUUUCGAUGAGUGAGCUUACCAAAUCGAUGAUUGCACUGUUGAAAAUGAUCUAUUACCACUUGAAAAAUUAGAAAUCAAAUUCAUACUUUUCGAUAAUUGUUCUGUCCAUCAAGUGGCGUAAAAAGAAGGCUAAAAAUAAUAUCAAUCUAAAAAGUGAUGAAGAAAAUUAUUGUUAAUCAUGACGACGAUAAUAGAUCUGCUCUAAUAUUUAAAGAUUUCUAACCAAAAUUCAAUUGAUUUGAUAAGCUUUACACCGUUAAUAAACCCCGAGAAAAAUUCCUCAUAACCAUUAAAAUCUACUAAUUUUGAAACCCUGAUUUCAUUAGUAAAUGAGUCUAAAAAUUUGAAAUAUUGAUUUCUAAUACUUCAGUGAUAUAGAUUCAUUUCAACGGCAGAUCGUCAUUGAAAGCUCCAUCAUCGAAAACAAUGUCAACGGAGCCCGUGCUACUUAAUACAACUAAGAUUUUCUAUACAGAACUGAUGCACGUUAAUAUAAUAAUUAUAAAUACUAUAAAAUUAUUAUGUAUAUAAUAAAAAGAUUUCUAAUUAAUNNNNNNNNNNNNNNNNNNNNNNNNNAUGUAUAUCCGAUGCAACUUUUGCACAUAAAGUCCAACCGACUUAAUACCGUAGUCCCCUCAUAGUGGGUUACAAUCGCGUAAAGCACCUCGCAUAAGAUGCAAGUCGUACAUAAAAUGUCGGCAAACUUUUUGCGAAAAGAUCUCUCCUUCGAUCAACGAGCGCGAAAAUAAACCGUCAAUUUACGAACGGAUGCGAAAAACCAAAGGUUUUUGGCCCCCGAAUCCCCAGCACCUCGAGACAACAAAGCUACGAUUUCGAUUCGUGCUCGAUCGACCACAGGAUUCAGACAAAAUCCAACCUUUAAUCGAAAGAAACACACAAAAUACAUAUAAAAAUGUAUUUUUAGAUUGUCGUCGGAAUCGCGUACAUCAAAACUCAAAAUCCGUCAGUGCAUUAGUUCCAGAACAAGGCGAACCGGCUCGAUCAAACGAGCUGAUUGGAAAAACGGAGUCCGAUACACGGUAGAAGGCCACUCUACUGCGUGGCUCACAACCGAAAAAACCGGAGUUAUCUAUCACUAAAGUGAAAACUCAUAAUCGGCGUAACUUAAUAAACAUUUUCCCUGAAAGCUUGACGAGUGCUUAUGUAUCUAAAUUACACACAUAAACAUCGUCAACAGAGAGCUUUAUAGUUGGCACUGUGAAAAAAUCCAGUCCUUACAUACAGAUUAAUUAAUAUUUUUAGUAUUUAUAUUCAAACACCGGCUUCUAUAUAUAAUAAUAUAACAUUGCGCUGGAAUACUAUUAAUAGUAAACACUCUUUUUACUAUCGAAUUUUUAACUAAGCCUUGAUGAAAAAUUGUAAGGGUCAGGAUGAUAUUAGUCGGUUGAGAGUUGAGUGGCUCCCCCUAGGCGUUGAUGCUCCGCCACUGGGUUACUAUAUUUAACUGCCAAUGGUGUUAGAAAAUAAUGAAAAGAGUUAUCCAAAGGGCCCUAAAAAAACUAGUAUGCAAUAAUGACGAUUUUGCUAACUAAUAAAGUAGCCCAGUCCAACUAUAUAUAUAUAUAUAUAUAUAUAUAUAUAUAAUAUAUAUAUAUAUAUAUAUAUAUAUAUAUAUUCAUGUGGAAUAACUAUUGGUAGCAAACGGGCUCCGUUGCCACCCAUUUGGUAUUUCGAUGAUGGAGCUCCCAAAUCGAUGACUUGGCACUGUUAGAAAAUGAUCUAUACCACUUGAAAAUAUCUAGAAAUCACAAUUCAUACUUUCGAUAUUCGUUCUUCUUGUCCAUCAAAGUGGCGUAAAAAGGAAUGCUGAAAAUGAAUAUCAUCUAAAAAGUGAUGAUAGAAAUUUUGUAAUCAUGAUCCGACGAGUAUACGAUCUUGCCUAAAAUAGUUUAAAAAGAAUUUCUAACCCAAAAUUCAAUUGAUUUGGAUCAGCUUUACACCGUUAAGCACGAGAAAUUCCUCAUAAUCAACCCUUACAAAUUACAAUUUGAAAACCCUUUUGAUCAUUAGGUAAAUGAUGCUCGAAAAGAUUUGAAAAUUUGAUUCUAGAUACCUCAAGUGAUAGCCGAUCAUAGUCAACCGGUGGCAGACUCGUUCGAUUGAAAGCUCCAUCACCCCGAAAAACAAAAAUUGGGGUGGCCGGAGCCCGUUGCUACUUAAAUACAGCUAAUUUUUCACCCGUGCAUCAAGUUAAUAUAAUAAUAUAGAAUACUAAAAUUAUUAUGUGAUGAUAAAUAAAAGAUUUUCUAAAUUAUAUUUAUAUUUUUAACGAAAUAAAAAAAAUAUACUAUCAAAUCUUAAUUAUAGUACAUAUAAAGUACACAAGCUAGAGAAAAAAAAUUGGACGGCAAAGUAAUUUCAUAAAAUAGAACAAAAAAAAAAACAAAAUUCAAUCCUGCUUUAUAUCUAUGAAUUGGUAUGCAAACAAUUUACAUUUACAUAUUGAUGUGGGCGAAAUAAAAUGAUAACUAAAAUUGAUAUGAAAAAUUACAAAUGACAUUAAAUAUUUAAGUAUAUAAGAGAUCAACUAAACUUUAUAUUUACACAAAUUAGAAUAAGCACACAGUAUAUAUGGUUCCUUGUCGCUUUUAAGAUUCAAAUACAUAGAUUUGGUUUUCAAAAAAUAAUAAAAAAAAAAUUUUGUUGCAUGACAGAUGAAAAGUUACAUGAGUGACAGAAGGAAAAAAAAAUUACGAAAAUGAAAAUUACAGAAGUGACAGUAAGGGAAUAAUAUGUUCUAUUUAAAGAGCAUCAAAUAUUAUAAAGCGAAGAAAAAAACGAAAUGAUGUUGAGUUCUAAAAUUUUUUUCUCUUUUCAAAAAAAUGUUCUCUAUCUUAUUAUUAAAAUAUUUUAUGUCCAGAAAUUUUCAACACAAUCAUUUUAAUAAUUAACUAAGUAAUUAAUUUAUUCCCAAUAACAGAUAAAUAUUUUUCUUGUCAGCAGGCGUAAUAUCCACACCGCCAAUAUCUUUCGUGAAUAAAAAACAUAAUAUCCAUAAUUUCCUCAAAAUAUCUCAUAUAAUUAUAUGGUGACUUUAAAAUAAAUUCCUAUCAUUAAUAAUAUAGUAAAAAUAUUAAUUAAUUUUAUAAUUAACGUGAGUUUGAAUUUUUUUUCCUUUCCAAAAAUGCUUAUUUUUUUUACAAUAUUUUAUGUCCAGAAAUUUUCGAAGCCAAUCAAUUUCAAAUAAUUAACAUAUAUAAUUAUUUUUAAAUAAAGAUAAAUAUUUCUCCUCAUGCAUCAAUAUCUGCAGCCGAUCAAUAUUUUUUGCCACAUAAAUUCGUGAAUUUUAAAUAUCUUAACAAUAAUGAUAGAUUACUUUGAAUAGAUUUCUUCUCAUUAUAGGUGAUUUUAAUAAUAUAGCAAAGAUAUUAAUUUUUUACCAUAAGAUGUUAUCUAAAUGAUUGAAAAAUAAAAAUAUACUGUUUAAUUAUUUUGUGACAAUAUACCCUCUCAUCUUGUAUCCUAUUUUCUAUCUUUUCUAAAAUAAAUAUUUUAUUUGAAACUUGACAGUAAGAUUAUUUUCCUAAAGCAGUAAUUUCCGCACUGAUCGCCAAUCUUUUGCGCGAUAUGCGGGAAGGUAUUAGUGAUUGGAUAUUAUAUAGGCUGGUGGGAUAUUAUGUGUGAGAAAAAAAAUGUGGCCGCGGUUAAUUACACAUGCAUAUAAAAAGUGAAAAUUUGAUACAUACUUUUGAGGGCAAUUUAGAUAAAAAAAAUGAUAGAUAUUUUGAUUGCGUCAAUCAAUAGAUUUUAUUGACUAAAAUGUAAAUAUAUUUUAUAAUAUCCCUCCUCGUGGUCCUACUUAAAUAAAAUAUCUAAUAUUUUAAAUUGAGAUAACUUUUAUAUAUUCUACUUUAAAAAUAUGAUUAAAUAUUUAAUGUAAAUAUUUGUAUAAUGUUUUAAAUACCAUAUCCAAUAUUCUUAAAUAUUGGUAGGUAAAAGUACGGGUAACUUUUUAUAAUUUUCGAUUUUUUCGCAACCAAAGUCAUUUCAAAUAAUUUGCAAGCAGAUUAUUGCGUAAUAAUUCCGUAACCAAUAAUUUAAUAAUUAAUUAAAUUUCCAAUACGAAAAUUUUGAUUUACCAUUUUUUUCGAACUAACCAUUUCAAAAAUUCGCAACAAUUAUUUCUUAUUCCGCAACCAAUUAAUUUUUUCAAAGGCACCGUCAAUCAUUUCGUUUUUACUUUGUAAUACUAUACGAUUUUUUUGCAACCAAUCAUUCGAAAUAAUUCGCGAACAGAUUUUGGCGUAUUUGCAACCAAUAAUUUUAAAAUAAUGAAUUAUUUGCGCAAUUACAAUUUGAGUUUGACCUUUUUUUUCGGGCAAACUAACCAUUUCAAAUAUUCGAAACAGAUUAUUGGCUUAUUCGCACCGAUAAUUUUAAUAAACAUAGGAAAUUUGAGUUUGAUUUUUUUUUUCGGCUACUAACCAUUUCAAAAUAAUUCGGCAACAGAUUAUUGAUUAUUUCGCAACCAAUUAAAUUAAAUAAUUAACUUAUCUGCCAAUACAAAAUUGAGUUUUGCCAACGAGAUUAUUUCCACGCGAAAAAUAAUUCCGGCACAGAUUAUUACUAUUUCGCAACGCAAUAAUUUAAAAUUAAUUAAUUAAACCAAUAAUUUCAAAAUAAUCUCGUACGCAAAAUAUCCAUAUUUGUGUUUACACGUGCAACAUAUAGAAAGCCACGUGUCAGCUUCUCACAUAGAUUAUAUAAGAGUUCUACCCUUUAUAUAUAGGGUAAACAGAUUUAUUACGUAUUUCGGCACCAUAAUUUAAAUAAAUAUGAAACCAAAUAAUUUCAAAAUAAUUCGUAACGGCAAAAUUCAUAAUUUGAUUUGACACGUGGCAAGUAUAUAGAAAGCCACGUGUCAGCUUCGUCAACAAGGAUUCAUUAAGGAUUCUACUUUAUAUAUAGUAAUAGAUUCCAGCUCAACUCUAUAAUAUAUAUAUAUACAUAGAGAGAGAGAGAGAAGAGAGAGAGAAGAGAGAGUAAGGUACUAGUGUUCUGGAAGCACGAAGCCUUUAUACUGUCCAGGUCCGUUUCAAUAUUUGCGUACUUCGAAUCGUCGAUCGACUGCCCGUUAAACUGAUUAGAGUAUUUGAAGUACCAUAGAAAAUAAAUUAUGCGAUUUUUUCGAAUAUAUUGCCUAGUGAACAGAAGGGGCUUAAAAUCACGCCCUGAAAAAAAAAAUCUUACAAAACGUAAUAAUAUUGACAUUAAAAUUUUAAGAUCAAAGAUAUCGAACUCUUAUUUUAUAUAGGUAUAAAGAAUUUUCUAUCAAAAUUCAACAUGAUUUGAAUCUAUUUCAUACUUUAAACUUCCAACCUCACUACGGCCAUAAAAAUUAUUGAUUUUGAGGACCCUUCGAUCACUAGGCAAAAUGAUGAAAAAUCAUAAAAAUUUAUUUUCUGAUACUUCAAUAUGAUCUAGAAAUCCAAGUUAACGGAGCCGAUCGACGAAAAUUGGAAAGUCGCAACAUCAAAAACGACCUGGAAGCAACGGAGGGCUCUGUACUUCCAGAAGCAUAGUAGGCCUUAUACGAUAUAUAUAUAUAUGGUUAUUGCAUACACGUCCCUGCAACAUAGUGAAGUGAAAAUACCCGCUCAAACGGAAACUUCCAUAAGUUGUCGCGCAAAAGUCCUAAGUUAUGCAGAUGUGUCCUACCGGUUAAGUCAUCCGUUAUGAUUGUUUUUUUUUUAACAGUGGAUUUGUGAAAUACUAUUUUACCACUCAGCAAAUAAUAUGCCCUCGCAAAAGUUUUUCUCUUCCCUUCUCUCUCUUCCUCUUCGAACCGUCGAAGCGGACCGACGCGGCGGCGGCGCGGGAUCGGGUUCGGCGCGCGAGAAGAAAGAAGGGAAAAGAAAAAACCCGCCGGGAGCCCCCCCCCCGCCCCCCCACGGAGCUUACUAGCCCGAGGCCUCUCGCCCUCAACGGCCAUCCCCUCCCUCGUCGCCCUCGGCCAACGACAACAUCGCCGACAUCGCCGGUCGACGGUCGUCACCCCCUCACCGACCUCACCGCCGACGGUCCGUUCUUGUGACCACGACGACCCCGUGCGCCAAGAGCACCUCGUCGCCGCCCAUCAGCGACAACAACGCCCCGAGCUUCUUGUCGCAGAGAAUCGCAGGUCAGCGCUUUCGAGGCGAACCCGAGAGGUUCUUCUCAACCUCCCGCGUGACGAAGAAGACGGGAAGAGCAUGGAAGGAAGAAGGAGGAAGGAAGAAGAAGGGAAAAAAAGGAAGAGGGAAGAAGGAAAAGAAGAGGUUCGCGCGCACCGUCCGCGCGCCGGCCGGCAUCUCCUCCGGCGGCGACGAAGAAGAAAGGAAAAGGAAAGAUGAGAAAGAGGAAGAAGGGUAAAUACGGCAAUUCAACACUAUAAUUAACCAUGGUUAUAUUUUUUAACAAAUAAAAAAAUAUACUAUCAAUCUUAAUUAUAGUACAUAUUAAAGUACACAAGCUAGAGAAAAAAAAAUUUGGACCAAAGUAAAUAUUCAACUAAAAUACAAAAUUCAAUCCUGCUUUAUUAUCUAUGAAUUGGUAUGCAAAACAAUUUACAUUUACAUAUUGAUGUGCGAAAUAAAAUGAUAACUAAAAUUGAUAUGAAAAAUUACAAAUGACAUUAAUAUUUAAGUAUAUAAUGAGAUCAACUAAACUUUCAUAUUUGACACAAAUUAGAAUAAGCACACAUAUAUUAUGUUCCUACUGUCGCUUUUAAGAUUCAAAAAUACAUAGAUGUUGGUUUUCAAAAAAAUAUAAAGAAAAAAAAUUUUGUUGCAUGAAGAUGAAAAGUUACAUGAGUGACAGAAGGAAAAAAAAUUACGAAAUGAAAAUUACAGAAGUGACAGUAGGGAAAUAAUAUGUUCUAUUUUAAAACAUCAAUAUUUAAGAGCGAAGAAAAUUACAGAAGUGAUGUGAGUUUAAAAUUUUUUUCUCUUUUCAAAAAUGUCUCUAUCUUUUUUAUUAAUAUUUUUAUGUCCAGAAAUUUUCAACCAAUCAUUUUAAAUAAUUAACUAAGUAAUAAUUUAUUCCCAAAUAAAGAUAAAUAUUUUUCUUCUCACGCGUAAUAUCCACACCGCCAAUUCUUUCGUAACAUAAUAUCCAUAAAUUUCUCAAAUAUCUCAACAUAAUUAUAGGUGACUUUGAAAUAAAAUUUUCUUCAUUAUAUGUGAUUUUUAAUAAUAUAGUAAAAGAUAUUAAUUUUUAUAAAAAACGUGAGUUUUGAAUUUUUUCUCUUUCCAAAAAUGUCUCUAUCCUUUUUUACUAAUAUUUUUAUGUCCAGAAAUUUUCAACCAAUCAUUUCAAAUAAUUAACUAAGUAAUAAUUUAUUCCCAAAUAAAGAUAAAUAUUUUUCUUUUCACGCGUAAUAUCCACACCGCCAAUUCUUUCGUAACAUAAUAUCCAUAAAUUUCUCAAAUAUCUCAAUAUAAUUAUAGGUGACUUUAAAAUAAAAUUUCCUUCAUUAAUAAUAUAGUAAAAGAUAUUAAUUAAUUUUUUAUAAUAACGUGAGUUUUGAAUUUUUUUUCUUUCCAAAAAUGUCUUUAUCUUUUUUUACUAAUAUUUUUAUGUCCAGAAAUUUUCAACCAAUCAUUUCAAAUAAUUAACUAAGUAGUAAUUUAUUUUUAAAUAAAGAUAAAUAUUUUUCGAAAGAAAAAAAAUUCAAAACUCACCUUUUUUUACUAAUAUUUUUAUGUCCAGAAAUUUUCAACCAAUCAUUUCAAAUAAUUAACUAAGUAGUAAUUUAUUUUUAAAUAAAGAUAAAUAUUUUUCUUCUCAUGCAUAAUAUCUGCACCGAUCAAUUUUUUUGCCACAUAAUAUUCGUGAAUUUUUUAAAUAUCUUAACAUAAUUAUAGAUGACUUUGAAAUAAUUUCUCCUUCAUUAUAGGUGAUUUUUAAUAAUAUAGCAAAAGAUAUUAAUUUUUUACCAUUAGAUGUUAUCUAAUGAUUGAAAAUAAAAAUAUAUGUUAAUUUUUGUGACAAUAUUACCCUCGCAUUUGUAUCCUAUUUUCUAUCUUUUCUAAAAUAAAAUAUUUAUAUUUGAACUUGACACGUAGAUUAUUUUUCCUAAAGCAGUAAUAUCCGCACUCGCCAAUUCUUUUGCGCGUAUAUGCGGAAGGUAUUAUGUGAUUGGAUAUUAUAUAGGUGGUGGAUAUUAUGUGUGAGAAAAAAAAAAUGUGGGCGACGGUUAUUACACAUGCAUAUAAAAAGUGAAAUUUGAUACAUACUAUUUGAGGGCAAUUUAGAUAAAAAAAAUGAUAGAUAUUUUGUAUUCGUCAAUCAAUUAGAUUUAUUGACUAAAAAUUAAUAUAUUUUAUAAUAAUUUAAAUAAAAUAUCUAAUAUUUUAAAUUUGAGAUAACUUUUAUAUAUUCUACUUUUAAAAAAUAUGAUUAAAUAUUAUAUAUGUUAAUAUAUUUUAUAAUGUUUUAAAUAAAAUAUCCAAUAUUUUAAAUAUUGGUAGGUAAAAGUACGGGUAACUUUUAUAUAUUUCCGAUUUUUUCGCAACCAAUCAUUUCAAAUAAUUUGCAACAGAUUAUUGCGUAUUUCGUAACCAAUAAUUUUAAAUAAUUAAUUAUUUGCCAAUACGAAAUUUGAGUUUGACCAUUUUUUUCGCAACUAACCAUUUCAAAUAAUUCGCAACAGAUUAUUGCUUAUUUCGCCACCAAUAAUUUUAAAUAAACAAUACGAAAUUUGAGUUUGAUUUUUUUUUUCGCAACUAACCAUUUCAAAUAAUUCGCAACAGAUUAUUGAUUAUUUCGCAACCAAUAAUUUUAAAUAAUUAAUUAUCUGCCAAUACAAAAUUUGAGUUUGCAACAGAUUAUUUCCACCGCUGAAAAAUAAUUCGCAACAGAUUAUUACGUAUUUCGCAACCAAUAAUUUUAAAUAAUUAAUUAAACCAAUAAUUUCAAAUAAUUCGUAACCAAAUAUCCAUAUUUGUGUUUGACACGUGGCAAGCAUAUAGAAAGCCACGUGUCAGCUUCUCACAUAGGAUUCAUUAAGGGUUCUACUUUUAUAUAUAGUAAACAGAUUAUUACGUAUUUCGCAACCAAUAAUUUUAAAUAAUUAAUUAUCUGCCAAUACGAAAUUUGAGUUUGACUUUUUUUUUCGCAACUAACCAUUUCAAAUAAUUCGCAACAGAUUAUUGAUUAUUUCGCAACCAAUAAUUUUAAAUAAACAAUACGAAAUUUGAGUUUGAUUUUUUUUUUCGCAACUAACCAUUUCAAAUAAUUCGCAACAGAUUAUUGAUUAUUUCGCAACCAAUAAUUUUAAAUAAUUAAUUAUCUGCCAAUACAAAAUUUGAGUUUGCAACAGAUUAUUUCCACCGCUGAAAAAUAAUUCGCAACAGAUUAUUACGUAUUUCGCAACCAAUAAUUUUAAAUAAUUAAUUAAACCAAUAAUUUCAAAUAAUUCGUAACCAAAUAUUCAUAUUUGAGUUUGACACGUGGCAAGUAUAUAGAAAGCCACGUGUCAGCUUCUCACAUAGGAUUCAUUAAGGGUUCUACUUUUAUAUAUAGUAAUAGAUUCCAGCUCAACUCUAUAUAUAUAUAUAUAUAUAUAGAGAGAGAGAGAGAGAGAGAGAGAGAGAGAGUAAGGGUACUAUGCUUCUGGAAGCACGAAGCCUUUUAUACUUCCAGGUCGUUUUCAAUAUUGCGACUUUCGAAUCGUCGAUCGACUCCGUUAAACUUGAUUUAGAGUAUUUGAAGUACCUAGAAAAUAAAUUAUGCGAUUUUUCGAUAUUAUUUGCCUAGUGAACGAAGGGGCUUAAAAUCAACGGCUGAAAAAAAAAAUCUUACAAAACGUAAUAAUAUGACAUUAAAAUUUUAGAUCAAAGAUAUCGAUCUUAUUUUAUAUAGUAUAAAGAAUUUUCUAUCAAAAUUUCACAUGAUUUGAAUAUUUCUAUACCUUUAAACUUCCAAACGGCUCACUACGGCCAUUAAAAUUAUUGAUUUUGAGCCCCUUCGAUCACUAGGCAAAUGAUAUCGAAAAAUCAUAAAAUUUAUUUUCUAGAUACUUCAAGUACUCUAGAUCAAGUUUAACGGAGCCGAUCGACGAUUGGAAAGUCGCAACAUCAAAAACGACCUGGAAGCACGGAGGGCUCUGUACUUCCAGAAGCAUAGUAGCCUUAUACUAUAUAUAUAUAUAGGGUUAUUUGCAUACACGUCCCUGCAAACAUAGUGAAUUGUGAAAAUACCCCUGCAAAACGGAAACUCCAUAAGUUGUCCCUGCAAAAGUCCUAAGUUAUGCAGAUGUGUCCCUCCGGUUAACAUCCGUUAGUGAUUUGUUUAUUUUUUAACAGUGGAUUUGUGAAAUGACUAUUUUACCCUCACAAAUAUAUCCCUCCAAAAGUUUUUCUCUUCCCUUCUCUUUCUCUUCCUCUUCGGACCGUCGAAGCGGACGACGGCGGCGGCGGCGCGGGGUCGGGUUCGGCGGCGACGAAGAAGAAGGAAGAACGCCGGGGCACCGGAGCUCUACCCGGAGCUCGUCGCCCUCAACGCCAUCCCCUCCCUCGUCGGCCUCCUCGGCCACGACAUCGCCGACAUCGCCGUCGACGUCGUCACCCUCCUCACCGACCUCACCGACGCCGACGUCCUCGUCGACCACGACGACCCCGCGCACGCCCUCGUCGCCGCCCUCGUCGACAACAACGCCCUCGAGCUUCUUGUCCAGAAAUUCGCUCGCCUUUCCGAGGCCGACCCCGACGAGGUUCUUCUCCCUCGCCGGUGACGAAGAAGAGGGAAGAGCAAGAGGAAGAAGGAGGAAGGAAGAAGAAGGGAAAAAAGGAAGAGGGAAGAGGAAAAAGAAGAGGGUUCGCCACCGUCACCGCCGUCGCCGCCGCAUCUCCUCGCCGGCGACGAAGAAGAAGGAAAAGGAAGAGGAGAAAGAGGAAGAAGGGUAAAUACGUCAAUUCACACUAUAAUUAACCAUGGUUAAGUAUUUUAACUGUGGUUAAUGAAAAUUUUCUAACAGAUCUGGAUGGCAGGAACAUACCUGUAUAACUUAGGACUUUUGCAGGGACAACUUAUGGAGUUUUCGUUUUGCAAGGAUAUUUUCGCAAUUCACUAUGUUUGCAGGGACGUGUAUGCAAAUAACCCACAUAUAUAUAUAUAUAUAUAUAGCUAGUCUCCUAUACUAUCUAUAUUACUGGGGCUCCGGUACUAUAAUCUCGUUUUCGAUUUUAGAGUUUUCAAAUCAAUGAUUCACACAGUUAAAACUGAUUUAGGAUAUUUAAAGUUUUAGAAAUAAAAUUUUAUAUUUUUUCGACAUAGUUUACUUUAUGAUCAAACAAUUCCAAAAUUAUCAAUUUUCAAUGGCUAAUAUGGCGAGUUUGGAGUUUAACGAUGUAGAAGAAUCUAAAUUUCUUCAAAUUUUAAUAGAAAAUACUUUAAACUAUUUAGAUUGAGGUUAACGUUCUUGAUCUUCAAUUUAAAAAUCAUAUGCUCAAAUUUUAAAGAUUAUUCAAUUUUCACUGUCCAUUUUGACAUAAUUUAUUUACUAAGUAAACGAUGUCGAAAAAAACUAAAAUUUUAUUCCUAAAAACUUUAUAUAUCCUAGAACAUAUUUAACGGUGUGAAUCAUUAGUUUGAUCACCUUAAGAUCGAAAUAAAGACUAUAGUACCGGAGCUCCGGUACUAUAGAUAGUAUAGUAGCCUAAUUCUAUACUAGUGUAGGCCAGGCCCGCGCUUCGCGGCGGGUAGAUAAUAUUUUAGCAAAUUUAUAUAUUUUAAUUUAUAUAAAUUUUAAUAAAUAUUUUGUAGUAUUUCAAUAACUUUAAAAAUUUUAAUUUAUACAAAUUUUAAUAAAUAUUUUGUUUAAUUAACUAUAAUUAAUCAUAAUUAAAAAAUAAUUUUAAGUUGUCUAUUUCAAAGUGUUUAAUAGUUGUAUAAGAUUUUCUAAACUUUUAAUUUUUUGACUAAAAUAAUUUUAUCAAAAUUUUAUAAAUUAAUUAAAUUUAUUUGUAGGUUCACAGGAUUUAAUAAUUUUAAUAAUUAUCUUUGAUCAUUUUAAUUUAACUAAGCAUAAAAAUUAAAAUUAAAAAAUUAGAAAUUAUAAUUAAAGGGUAUCUAUAUUUUUUUACCUAUAUUAAAGGAAAUGAUACUAUUUGUUAUACCGGGUGUAAAAGUAAAUUUUGUGUACUUUAUUUUAAAAAAGCUGAUAUAAAAAUUUAAACUGUAAUAAGUAAUUUUUUAUAUAGAGGCUUCCUAUAGAGUAUAGAUCGCAUUGAAAUUAUAUUUUAAUUUUAUAAUAUUAAUUAUUCAAAAUUAGGGUUGGUAUAUGUAAUAUUUAUAGACUGGGUGUAGACAACUUAUUUAUAGAUGAGGAAUGGGUUGGGAGGAGAAUCAUUGCAUGCUCCGGAUGUAUAUUAUUUCUUAAACACCAUAUUGAUAUAUAACUAUUUUUGAAAUUUAAACUCUAUAAUAUUUGGUACAUAAACUGAUUAUCUCUUUAUAUUAUGUAGAUUAUAUAUGCUAAAUUAUAUUUUAAUUUCAAAUUAAGAAAAAAAUUCGGUGCAUGUUAUAUUAUUGUAGACCAGGUGUUUUCAAUUUUUCUUGAAGUGAAUAUAGGAGAAUGGAGAGGACAGGGAUCACCUCCAUAGCCAAUGAUAUGAUGGAACUCUCCUUUAAUAUAAAGUAAGUAUAUAUCUUUUCCCAAAUUAAAAAAAAACAUAAUAUUAGAUAGUAAGUAAAUCAGUGUGAUGCACAGAAACAUAAUAUUAGAUAUUAACAAAUAAAAAUUUAUAUUUACUAUGGUGAUAAAUAUUAUGUUGUUACUAUUUUUUAAAGCUAGUUUUUUUUUUUUUUUUGUAAGAAAAAUGAAAUAAAAAUAACACAACUAUCAAAUCGAUGUUAAAAAAGCUUAACAAUUUUAACAUGUUGAUAUUUUAAAUAAAUCAAAAAAAUUAAAAUCUCAAUAAAUAUAAAAUCACACAAAAAAAUAUCUAAAAAUAUGCAAAUUAAUAGAAAAAUGAUGACAAAAUCAAACUAAAAUAAUUGCAUAAGGUAUGUAAAAUUUAAAUGUAUCAAAUAUAAUACCGGAGAUUAUUUUUCGCCUAUAUAAAGUAUACACUAUAUCAUAUAUGGGUGAUAAUAAAUUAUCUAUAGAUGAACAUAUCAAAUCUUUGUGGCAUAGUAUAUUAAAAAUUAAUAUGAUCUUUGCUUCCUGAAGGAAAAAAAAGAAAAAAAAUAAAGAAAAAAAAAAUUGGUUAACUUACACUUAAGUCUUUAAUUGAUUAUCUUAUUCUCUAUCAAAUGAAUAAGGUAAUCUACUAUGUUGGGAAAGCAAGAAAAAAAAAAAGUAUUAUUGACCAAAAAUUUGACAAAUUUUUUAUUCUACUCUAGUGGAUAUUUAUAGUGCACUUAUAAUUAAAAAUUUUUGUAACCGUUAUCUAUGCAAAAUAAGAGACAAUAUAGAAAAGAGUAAAUGGCGGAUUUAAUUCUCACAUUUAAUUUCUAUUGGAAAUUUUAUUUAAAUACUCCACUCCUAGAAAGAAAAACGGUCAAACUAAAUAUGCAUUAAUUUAGAGAUUUUUAUUUGUUUAAAGAAGAGCAUGAAGCACUAAUUAUUUUCAGUUACUAAUUACUUUAUAUAUAUGAAAACGUUGGAUUAUUAUGAGAAUAAAGGGUUUGGUUUAAGGAGAGGUUAUGAGAAUGAAGUUCCUAGAAAGAAAAACGGUCAAAUUAAAUGUGCAUUAAUUUAGAGAUUUUUAUUUGUUUAAGUUACUAAUUAUUUUAUAGAGGGUUUGGUUUAAGGAGAGGUUAUGAGAAUGAAGCAUAGCUUGCCACGUGGCAAAAGAUAUUGAGGUUUCAUAUAGGUUUAUAGAUAUAUAUAAUAAAACUUGUGUGCUAUUAGGAGCAUAGAGACCUUCAUGCUUCUAAGCUAUUUUCAAUAAUGGGACUUUCGAAUCAAUGAUUGGCUCCAUUAGACUUGAUCUAGCAUAUUUGAACUAUUUAGAAAAUAAUUUUUUUUGAUUUUUUAUAUCAUUUUUCUAGUAAUCGAAAGGAUGCCAAAUAGAGCCUUGUGACAUAGCGCAUUUUUGUAUCCUUUGUGUUAAAUUAUACGUAACAUAAAAGUAUUGUACUUUAAUAGUAUAAACUUUUAGAGAAUAAUGAUUAUUCAAUAUAACUUAAUAUGACGCCCCAACUCUCCAAAAGGUCACCCAUCCUAGAACUACUCAGUUUCUAACACGCUUAACUUUUUUAACUUUUUGGGUCUAGCCAUCACUCAAAAUGCUUAGCCGGAUUAAGAGUUUUAGUUCUAUUAUAUCUUAUAUAUAAGACUAUCUGGAAUCUCACAUUUUUUCCCCUAAAGUCCUGACGUCUUCGUCAGGCUCAGAAUCACAAAUAUCAGAUAAUAUGAGAUUCGUCUAGCUAGUCUAAACCGACAUUGUUGUGAGCUGCACUCCACCCACAAUAGUCAACAGUAUAAAAGUCUCAUUCUCCUAGCUGUAUAAUUCUAACUUAGCCGAGACUCAUCUUACACUUCCGGCUGGUAAUAGGCUAUGAUACUAACUGUGACGUCCUAGCUUUUCAAGGAAUCACCCAUACU
rnacentral:lncRNA from 1 species